rnacentral:rRNA from 1 species
UGGGGAAUAUUGGACAAUGGGCGCAAGCCUGAUCCAGCAAUGCCGCGUGGAUGAAGAAGGUCUUCGGAUUGUAAAGUCCUUUCGGCGGGGACGAUGAUGACGGUACCCGCAGAAGAAGCCCCGGCUAACUUCGUGCCAGCAGCCGCGGUAAUACGAAGGGGGCUAGCGUUGCUCGGAAUGACUGGGCGUAAAGGGCGCGUAGGCGGAUGUCUUAGUUGGGCGUGAAAGUCCUGGGCUUAACCUGGGGAUUGCGUUCGAUACGGGAUGUCUAGAGUUGGGCAGAGGGUCGUGGAAUUCCCAGUGUAGAGGUGAAAUGCGUAGAUAUUGGGAAGAACACCGGUGGCGAAGGCGGCGACCUGGUCCUUGACUGACGCUGAGGCGCGAAAGCGUGGGGAGCAAACA